GACAGAGGAGCCAAGCGUUGUCCGGACUGACUGGGCGUAAAGCGCCCGCAGGCGGCCGUGCGCGUGGGGUGUGAAAGCUCUCGGCUUAACUGAGAGAGGCCAUCCCAUACGGCACGGCUCGAGCCGUCCAGAGGCCGGUGGAAUUGCCGGUGUAGUGGUGAAAUGCGUAGAGAUCGGCAGGAACACCUGUGGCGAAGGCGGCCCCCUGGGCCGGCCCUGACACUGAGACGCGAAGGCGUGGGGAGCGAACGGG
rnacentral:rRNA from 1 species